AGCGAACGCUGGCGGCAGGCCUAACACAUGCAAGUCGAACGAACUCUUCGGAGUUAGUGGCGGACGGGUGAGUAACACGUGGGAACGUGCCUUUAGGUUCGGAAUAACUCAGGGAAACUUGUGCUAAUACCGAAUGUGCCCUUCGGGGGAAAGAUUUAUCGCCUUUAGAGCGGCCCGCGUCUGAUUAGCUUGUUGGUGGGGUAAUGGCCCACCAAGGCGACGAUCAGUAGCUGGUCUGAGAGGAUGACCAGCCACAUUGGGACUGAGACACGGCCCAAACUCCUACGGGAGGCAGCAGUGGGGAAUCUUGCGCAAUGGGCGAAAGCCUGACGCAGCCAUGCCGCGUGGAUGAUGAAGGUCUUAGGAUUGUAAAGCUCUUUCGCCGACGAGGAUAAUGACGGUAGUCGGAGAAGAAGCCCCGGCUAACUUCGUGCCAGCCGCCGCCGUAAGAC
rnacentral:rRNA from 1 species